GAAAGGGCAUGUUAAACCUGCUAACCAUUUAGAGUUGCAUGAGAAGAUUCUUAUAGGUGUUGCUACUAAAAAGGAGUGGUCAAGCUUUUCAAUGCUGUAAACAAGGCUCAACAUGCUCAGGAGGGGUUGAAUGCUUCAAGGUCAAAAGAAGCGAAGUAAAGAAGCAUUCUUCUCGGAGUUGGGGAAAACACCUAGAACAGACUCCAAGGUUUUGCAUAGUCUACACUAUCUCCUACUCUCUCUGUAUACGCUUUAUCUCGAGAGUUUUAAGACAUUCACCUUUAGAUGAGCAUAUAAGCAAGUUCGCCUGUCUUGAUGUGACUUCUAUGAAG